AUGGGAUUGCAUAUUCAAACAUUGUUCAUAUUUGGUUCAACUUUUCGUCUCCUAAAUCCUAACGACUGAUUUAUUCUGUGUUUCAGGUAUGCACUCUCUUUACAACACUCCUUAAGAGAAACUUAUCCUUCAUCCUUGCGAUGAUCAGGAAAAACAUUCAGUGAUAAAAGGUUCAUUUACCUUGAAAGCAAAAGAUCAGCGAAUCCGAGUCUAGGGUAUGCAUUCAGAUUCAGAUAGUCGACACUAACAUUCCUCGAACAUUCAAAAAUAAAACAGAAAACGGUGAAAACCCCUUGGUUUGUUACCGUUCCACAAUCACAACUAAAGGAUACUCUUUGACGCUAUGAUCCAGACAGUCAAAUAAUAAUGGAGUGUAUAUACCUGCUACUUCUCUUGUUGGUUGGGUCUGGUCUCUGCCGACCGGAGAGCCGAGAAUUGGAAGAGGAGCAGAAUGAUGAGGAAGGAGAAGGUGGCGAAGGUGGGGAAGAGCCGAACGACCAGGGAGCGCCCGAUUCCAGGCGGCCGCCGAUCCUCAAACCCAGCCUACGACCAUAACCGUGGAAAAGGGCCAGACGGCAAUUUUACCAUGUGAAUUUCAAGAUUUGGGAAAUUCCCAGACCAUGUGGCUUAUGAAUAGUCAGCAAUUAUUCAUCGGAUCUUACAAAUUGGAUGAGAGGAACACUAGGUUCAAUUUAACCAGUAAACUG
rnacentral:lncRNA from 1 species